GGAUUGGGGACAGGAGGAGAAGGGGACGACAGAGGAUGAGAUGGUUGGAUGGCAUCACUGACUCGAUGGACAUGAGUCUCAGUGAACUCCGGGAGUUGGUGAUGGAUAGGGAGGCCUGGCGUGCUGCGAUUCAUGGGGUCGUAAAGAGUCGGACACGACUGAGCGACUGAUCUGAUCUCUGAUCUCAUGCCCAUUGAGUUGGUGAUGCUAUUUAACCAUCUUAUCCUCGGCUGCUCCCUUCUCCUUUUGCCUUCAAUCUUUCCCAGGAUUAGGGUCUUUUCUAAUGAGUUGGCUCUUCACAGCAGGUAGCCAAAGUAUUGGAGCUUCAGUUUCAGCAUCAGUCCUUCCAAUGAAUAUUCAGUGUUAAUUUCAUUUAGGAUGGACUGGUUUGAUCUCCUUGGGACUCUCCAAGGGACUCUCAGCACCACAAUUUGAAAGCAUCAAUUCUUUGUCUCUCAGCCUUCUUUAUGGUCCAUCUCUCACAUCCAUACAUGACUACUGGAAAAACCAUAGCUUUUUUUACACUGAUAUUUGUUGGCAGAGUGAUGCCUCUGCUUUUGAAUAUGCUGCCUAGGUUUGUCAUAGCUUUCCUUCCAAGGAGCAAGGGUCUUUUAAUUUCACCAUCUGCAGUGAUUUUGGAGUCCAAGAAAAUAAAAUCUGUCACUGCCUCCACUUUUCCCCCUUCUAUUUGCCAUGGAGUGAUGGGAUCAGAUGCCAUGAUCUUAGUUUCAUCCAGGCUGCCCAGGGUGAAUUCCUGGGCAGGGAACUAAGGUCUGUCUUUGGACUGCUCGCUCCUGUCUCUCUGAGAUCACUUCCCUUUGCACCAACACAUCCUUCCUAGGCAAAUUUACCUAAUUCCCUGGCUGAAUUUAUCAUCUGUGUUAGUUUCCUAAGGCUUCUGUGAGAAAACACUGCAGAUUGGGUGGCUUAAGCAACAGAAAUUUAUGGUCUCACAGCUCUGGAGGCUAGAAGUCCAAGAUCAAGGUGUGGUGGCGUUGGUUCCUUCUGAGGUCUGUGAGCAACGAAGAAUCUGUUCCAUCCCCUCUCUCCUAGCUUCUAGCAUUUUGCUGGUAAUUUCUGAUGUCUGUUGGCUUGCUGCCUUUAUCUUUCCAUGGCAAUCUGUGCAUUCAAAUUUCCCAGUCAUGUUGGAUUAGGGCCAAUUCUCAUGAUCUCAUUUUAACUCAAUCACCUCUGCAAAGACCCUGUCUCCAAAUUGAGGACACGUCCUGAGAUACUGGAGGUGAGCACAUGGGCGAGCGUGCUGAGUCCUGUCCAACUCUCUUGUGACAGGUUCCUCUGUCCAUGGGAUUCUCCAGCCAGGAACACGUGAUUCUCUUGUGUCUGCCGCAUCAGCAGGUGGGUUCUUUACCACUGCCACCACCUGGGAAGCCUCACCUGGGAGGUGAGGAUGUAAAUUGGGGGGAGACACAGUUCAGCCCAUAGCACCACCUCUGUGCUUCUGAGCCCAUGUAACUCUCCUAAACUAUAGAGAUGCCUCGUCAUCAUUGGCCAGAUUGCUCCACUUGAAUGCCCCACGUAUUUUCCAGCCUCUUUUGUGGUCAGGCUCAGGCCCGCGAGCUAUUCUCCACCAAGAGGACUUGCCCUAUGAAACGCUGAUUCAGAAGGAGCAGUUUGAGGAAGGAGGAGGCUUGGAGUGGAGACCGUUUCCCCAGCAGUGGCAGAGGCUUUCAGGGAUACGGCAGUUGCAAGUCGAGUGGAGCUCUGGAUUCCCAAUUGUUUUUACAGGAAUCAGACGUCCCUCCAGAUGAAAGCUGCUGACCACAAGACGAUAGACUCUAGACUGGCUGAAACCAGAAGGUUGUUGAUGCUUGAAACUUCAUCUCCAUGCCAUCCAGUCCCAGAAUUGCCCACAAGUUGAUCAUGCCUUGCUCCUUGAACACUAUAAAACUCCUCACUGUCCCCUACAGGGUGGGUCACACAGUCUUGAGGGCAUUAGCCCACUGUGGCCGCCUUUGCCUGACAAACCACGAAAAGCUACUCUUUUCUAUGUUACCCCAAAUGCUGUCUCCAUGUUUCUAUUCAGGGAACAGAGCCUGAGUUAUGGCAACAGAUCCAAUGUUUACAUCUUUUCCUGUUUUAAGUUGAAUUGAGUGUGUACGAGCUCAGCCAUUUCAGUCGUGUCCGACUCUUUGUGACUCUAUGGACUGUAGCUCACCAGGCUCCUCUGUCCAUGGGAUUCUCCAGGCAAGAAUACUGGAGAGGGUUGCCAUGCCCUCCUCCAGGGGAUCUUCCUGACUCAGGGAUCGAACCCGCGUCUCUAAUGUCUCCUGCACUGACAGGCAGGUUCUUUACCACUAGUGCUACCUGGGAAGCCCCAUAA
ensembl:lncRNA